GUCGAACGAACCCUUCGGGGUUAGUGGCGGACGGGUGAGUAACACGUUAGUACCUGCCCUCUAGUGGGGGAUAACUGCCCGAAAGGGUAGCUAAUACCGCAUGUGAUCACUUGUGAUCAAAGCAGAAAUGCGCUAGAGGAGGGGCUUGCGUCUGAUUAGCUUGUUGGCGGGGUAAUGGCCCACCAAGGCGAUGAUCAGUAGCUGGUUCGAGAGGAUGACCAGCCACACUGGGACUGAGAUACGGCCCAGACUCCUACGGGAGGCAGCAGUGAGGAAUCUUCCGCAAUGGACGAAAGUCUGACGGAGCAACGCCGCGUGCAGGAUGACGGCCUUCGGGUUGUAAACUGCUUUUAUUUGGGAAGAUUAUGACGGUACCAAAUGAAUAAGGACCGGCUAACUACGUGCCAGCAGCCGCGGUAAUACGUAGGGUCCAAGCGUUAUCCGGAAUUACUGGGCGUAAAGAGUGCGUAGGCGGGUGUCUAAGUGCAAUGCGAAAUCCUAUGGCUCAACCAUGUGGACUGUAUUGCAUACUGGAUACCUAGAGGAAUGCAGAGGCAAGUGGAAUUACCGGUGUAGCAGUGAAAUGCGUAGAUAUCGGUAGGAACACCAAUGGCGAAGGCAGCUUGCUGGGCAUUAUCUGACGCUAAGGCACGAAAGCGUGGGGAGCGAACAGGAUUAGAUACCCUGGUAGUCCACGCCGUAAACGAUGCACACUAUUAGUAUGGAGUAUCGACCCUCUGUGCUGAGAAGCUAACGCGUUAAGUGUGCCGCCUGGGGAGUACGAUCGCAAGAUUAAAACUCAAAGGAAUUGACGGGCUCGCACAAGCAGUGAUCAUGCGUUUAAUUCGAUGAUACGCGAAGAAC
rnacentral:rRNA from 1 species